rnacentral:rRNA from 1 species
AUGGUCGAAAUCAUUACUAUAUAUGUAUGGCCUUGCUGUAGAAUUAACAUAGUAUUUAGAGAAUCAUGUCUUCAUCCUAUCUCGCGUCAAUGGUGGCCUUGCACUCUUCUGGCUUCGGAACCUGCCUCUGAUCUGGCACCAGAGCUUGCACUUGAACCUGCCUCUGAUCUGGCACUAGAGCUUGCACUUGAACCUGCACUGGACCCUGCACUUGAUCCGGCACUAGAGCCUGCACUGGACCCCGCACUUGAUCCGGCACUGGACCCCGCACUUGAUCCUGCCUCGGAUCCUGCACUAGAGCUAGCACCUGAUCCAUCCCUUGAGCCGCUUCCCGACCCAGAGCCUGAAGCCGAAGCUGAGCCUGACCCUGAACUCGAGCUAGAGCCACCAGUAGCACCACCUAAUCCAAUACCGAGUCCAGCCCCAAGCCCAAGCCCACCCCCUCCCGAGGCUGAGCCUGACCCAGAAGCCGAUGCCGAUCCAGAACCAGAUCCUAUGCCUGGAAUUGAUCCAGAACGAGAGACAGAUGCCGAACCCGAUCCAGAACCGGAACUAGAACCACCACCACCACCAAUACCAACUCCAACACCAAGUCCAAGACCUAGACCACCUGACCCCGAUCCUGAGCCCGACCCCGAACCAGACCCAGAACCAGAACCCGACCCUGAUCCGGAACCGGAUCCCGAGCCCGAGCCUGAACUACCAGCACCCAAGCCGAUACCGAUUCCAAGCCCGCCAAGGCCGAGGUUGAGACCAAGGUCCUUCCGAGCAUAGCGGCUCUCGCCCACCGGGGCAAGCGAUGCACCAGCGACAAGUACAGCUACAAAAGCAAUGGCCUUAAUGCAGACCAUUGUGCCCACUGCCCUCUCUUGUCUCUAUCUCAACAGUGAACGAGUGAGUGAGUCGCGGUGA